GAUGUCCCCUCCACACGAAGCUCCCCGCCCGAGAAGAUGCAGGACGUGGAGUCUGGGGCUGAGGUGCAAACUGGUUUGCUGUUUUCACACCACAAGCAGGGAUGUCUUCCGUGACCCUCUGCUCUGGGACCAGAGAGCAGACAAGGACUCCGUUUCUAGAAGAUUCGUCAGCCUGCCAGCUGUUUUUAAGGCUACCUUCACUCUGUCUUCGCAGUCCCAAGCAACACCGCACACCUGAGGCCUUUCCCUUUCUUUGUGGGCCUUGCUUCCUUACCCUUCAUCAGCCUGGUCACCGUCAGGCUCCAAGGACUCCAUUUUCUGGGACAUAAGCCCACUCACCAGAUGGUUCACAGUCAUGCCAACCUCAAAGGUGAAAUUUCAAACGUGCUCAAAGGAACUUGGUAAAGCAACUGUCCUUUGCUCUGAGUCUCCUGUCGCCCUCAACCUAACACCUGAGGAACAGAUAAUAGUAACAGCAAAGGCUGAAACCUCCGUCAGGCUCUGGGGAAGCCGUCCAGACCCUCCACAUGACGGGAGGAACCUACAGGUGAGAGGGGUUAAGAAACGUGCCUGGGUCACCCAGCUGGGCAGUGACAGCCAGGACCUCAGUCCGGGUCCCGUGAUUCCUGGAGCCCGAGAAUUCAGGCUCUCUG